GAUGAACGCUGGCGGCGUGCCUAAUACAUGCAAGUCGAGCGAACAGACGAGGAGCUUGCUCCUCUGACGUUAGCGGCGGACGGGUGAGUAACACGUGGAUAACCUACCUAUAAGACUGGGAUAACUUCGGGAAACCGGAGCUAAUACCGGAUAAUAUAUUGAACCGCAUGGUUCAAUAGUGAAAGACGGUUUUGCUGUCACUUAUAGAUGGAUCCGCGCCGCAUUAGCUAGUUGGUAAGGUAACGGCUUACCAAGGCAACGAUGCGUAGCCGACCUGAGAGGGUGAUCGGCCACACUGGAACUGAGACACGGUCCAGACUCCUACGGGAGGCAGCAGUAGGGAAUCUUCCGCAAUGGGCGAAAGCCUGACGGAGCAACGCCGCGUGAGUGAUGAAGGUCUUCGGAUCGUAAAACUCUGUUAUUAGGGAAGAACAAAUGUGUAAGUAACUAUGCACGUCUUGACGGUACCUAAUCAGAAAGCCAAGGCUAACUACGUG
rnacentral:rRNA from 1 species